ACUGUACUGAUGAGUCCCAAGUAGGACGAAAUAGCAGGUCACGAGCAAU
rnacentral:lncRNA from 1 species